rnacentral:lncRNA from 1 species
ACGAGAAGGAAGGCUUGGAGCUGCAACUGCAAAUGAUUUUGAUAAAUUCAGACAUCAUGGAGGCGUGGUUGAGGGAGAAUCAGGGGAAGAGGGUCAUGGACGUGGAGAAUGCAUUCGAGUAUUCCGAUUUUGUUUCAAGUCAGAUGCUGGAGUGUAGUUCUUCAGAUUUAGCUAUAGAUGAUGUGAUAUAUGCCCUGGAUAAGGCCCUUCAAGAGGGAUCAAUCCCCUUCGAUCAGUACCUGAAGAAUGUGAGGAUGUUAUCACGGGAGCAGUUUCUCCAUCGAGCCAUGUCUGCGAAAGCU